CCUACGGGGGGCAGCAGUGAGGAAUAUUGGUCAAUGGUCGGGAGACUGAACCAGCCAAGCCGCGUGAGGGAGGAAGGUACAGAGUAUCGUAAACCUCUUUUGUCAGGGAACAAAGGCGGGGACGUUUCCCCGUAUGAGUGUACCUGAAGAAAAAGCAUCGGCUAACUCCGUGCCAGCAGCCGCGGUAAUACGGAGGAUGCGAGCGUUGUCCGGAUUUAUGGGGUUAAAAGGGUGCGUGGGCGGUCUGUUAAGUCAGUGGUAAAAGCCCGGGGCUCAACCCCGGCCCGCCGUUGAAACUGGCAGUCUCGAGUUGGAGAGAAGUAUGCGGAAUGCGCGGUGUAGCGGUGAAAUGCAUAGAUAUCGCGCAGAACUCCGAUUGCGAAGGCAGCAUGCCGGCUCCACACUGACGCUGAGGCACGAAAGCGUGGGUAUCGAACAGGAUUAGAUACCCCUGUAGUC
rnacentral:rRNA from 1 species